rnacentral:rRNA from 1 species
UUUUUUUAUUUCCUUAGACUUAGACCGCGCAAGACAAGCAUUUUUCGCUAUUUACGAUUUCAUAUUCUUGUUACUAGAUGUUCUAUAGGAAUAAGAAGAAAUCGCAACUCCUUUGCGCUACACAUAAAAUUGGAUUUCGAAGGUCCAUUUUUUUUUCAGAAUCCUCUAUUUUGGAUCUUUAGUACUUUCAUUCCUAGUUACUAUCCAGACAAGGUUUGGAUUUCAAGAACUACGGUGGUUAUCAACCAAAAUGAAAAUGAAGAACAUGUAAAACUAUUUAAUUCGAGGAGUGUUUACUCACACAUUCAUACUCAUAGUGUGCUUUAA